rnacentral:rRNA from 1 species
CCUACGGGAGGCAGCAGUGGGGAAUAUUGCACAAUGGGGGAAACCCUGAUGCAGCGACGCCGCGUGAGUGAAGAAGUUUUUCGGGAUGUAAAGCCCUGUCAGCAGGGAAGAAAAUGACGGUACCUGACCAACAACGCCCGGCCCACUACGUGCCAGCAGCCGCGGUUCUACGUAGGGGGCCAGGGUAAUCCGGAUUUACGGGGUGUAAUGGGAGCGUAGGCGGUAGGGCAAGUCUGGAGUGAAAGGCGGGGGGUCAACCCCCGGACUGCUCUGGAAACUGCCAGGCUGGAGUGCAGGAGAGGUAAGUGGAAUUCCUGGUGUAGCGGUGAAAUGCGUAGAUAUUAGGAGGAACACCAGUGGCGAAGGCGGCUUACUGGACUGUAACUGACGUUGAGGCUCGAAAGCGUGGGGAGCAAACAGGAUUAGAUACCCUAGUAGUC